CGUCGGGACCGGGGUCCGGUGCGGAGUGCCCCUCGCCCGGGAAAUGGGGCGCGGCC
rnacentral:miRNA from 1 species